rnacentral:rRNA from 1 species
UACGUAGGGCGCGAGCGUUGUCCGGAUUUAUUGGGCGUAAAGAGCUCGUAGGCGGCUUGUCGCGUCGUCCGUGAAAACCUGCGGCUCAACUGCAGGCUGGCGGUCGAUACUGUCGUGCUAGAGUGCGGAAGGGGCUACUGGAAUUCUCGGUGUAGCGGUGAAAUGCGUAGAUAUCGAGAGGAACACCUGCGGCGAAGGCGGGUAGCUGGGCCGACACUGACGCUGAUGCGCGAAAGCCAGGGGAGCGAACGGG